GACGAACGCUGGCGGCGUACCUAAUACAUGCAAGUGGGACCCAAGGAAACACACUGUGCUUGCACACCGUGUUUUCUUGAGUCGCGAACGGGUGAGUAACGCGUUGGUAACCUGCCUAUUAGCGGGGGAUAACUAUUGGAAACGAUAGCUAAUACCGCAUAAUAUUAAUUAUUGCAUGAUAAUUGAUUGAAAGAUGCAAGCGCAUCACUAGUAGCUGGACCUGCGUUGUAUUAGCUAGUUGGUAAGGUAAGAGCUUACCAAGGCGACGAUACAUAGCCGAGCUGAGAGGGUGAUCGGCCAAACUGGGACUGAGACACGGCCCAGACUCCUACGGGAGGCAGCAGUAGGGAAUCUUCGGCAAUGGACGAAAGUCUGACCGAGCAACGCCGCGUGAGUGAAGAAGGUUUUCGGAUCGUAAAGCUCUGUUGUAAGUCAAGAACGUGUGUGAGAGUGGAAAGUUCACACAGUGACGGUAGCUUACCAGAAAGGGACGGCUAACUACGUG
rnacentral:rRNA from 1 species